rnacentral:rRNA from 1 species
GCCUGAUCUACGCCAUUCCGCGUGAGUGAUGAAGGCCUCUCAGGGUCGUAAAGCUCUUUCGCUAGGGAAGAUAAUGACGGUUCCUUGUAAAGAAGUCCCGGCUAACUCCGUGCCAGCAGCCGCGGUAAUACGGAGGGGCCUAGCGUUUUUCGGAAUUACUGGGCGUAAAGCGCGCGUAGGCGGUCUAUUAAGUCAGGGGUGAAAUCGCGGGGCUCACCCCCGGAACUGCCCUUGAUACUGGUCGUCUUGAGUUCGAGAGAGGUGAGUGGAAUUCCGAGUGUAGAGGUGAAAUUCGUAGAUAUUCGGAGGAACCACCGUUGGCGAAGGCGGCUCUCUGGCUCGAUACUGGCGCUGAGGUGCGAAAGUGUUGGGAGCAAACAGGAUUAGAUAUCCUGGUAGUCCACAGCGUAAACGAUGAAUAGCCAGCCGUCGGGUAGCACUGCUAUUCGGUGUCGCAGCUAACGGAUUAAGCAUUCCGUCUGCG